AGAUUAUUAGGUUAUAUUGGAUAAUUAUGGGUUUUGAAAACCUAUUAUAAGUGUUCGAUUCACUUGUAACCUU
rfam:Octopus bimaculoides Scaffold274686_contig_2, whole genome shotgun sequence.